UACGUGGGGUCCAAGCAUUAUCCGGAAUUACUGGGCGUAAAGAGUUGCGGAGGUGGCAGAGUAAGUAGGUAGUGAAAUUGUGUGGCUCAACCAUACACCCAUUAUCUAAACUGCUCAGCUAGAGCAUGGAAGAGGUAACUGGAAUUUCUAGUGUAGGAGUGAAAUCCGUAGAUAUUAGAAGGAACACCGAUGGCGUAGGCAGGUUACUGGUCCAUUGCUGACACUAAGGCACGAAAGCGUGGGGAGCGAACGGG
rnacentral:rRNA from 1 species